UACGUAGGCAGCAAGCGUUGUUCGGAGUUACUGGGCGUAAAGAGUGCGUAGGCGGUCCUAUAAGUAUGGUGUGAAAUCUCCUGGCUUAACUGGGAGGGUGCGCCGGAAACUGGGGUGCUCGAGCGUGGGAGAGGAAAGCGGAAUUCCUGGUGUAGCGGUGAAAUGCGUAGAUAUCAGGAGGAACACCCGUGGUGUAGACAGCUUUCUGGACCAUUGCUGACGCUGAGACACGAAAGCGUGGGUAGCAAACAGG
rnacentral:rRNA from 1 species